rnacentral:rRNA from 1 species
UACAGAGGUCCCAAGCGUUGUUCGGAUUCAUUGGGCGUAAAGGGUGCGUAGGCGGCGCGGUAAGUCGGGUGUGAAAUCUCGGAGCUUAACUCCGAAACUGCAUUCGAUACUGCCGUGCUUGAGGACUGGAGAGGAGACUGGAAUUUACGGUGUAGCGGUGAAAUGCGUAGAUAUCAUAAGGAAGACCAGUGGCGAAGGCGGGUCUCUGGGCCGAUACUGACGCUGAGGAGCGAAAGCGUGGGGAGCGAACAGG